UACAGGGGGGGGCGAGCGUUGUUCGGAAUUACUGGGCGUAAAGGGUUUGUAGGUGGCUUGCUCAGUCAGACGUGAAAUCCCUCAGCUUAACUGGGGAACUGCGUCUGAUACUAGCGAGCUUGAGUGCAGGAGAGGAACGCGGAAUUCCAGGUGUAGCGGUGAAAUGCGCAGAUAUCAGGAGGAACACCAAUGGCGAAGGCAGCUCGCUGGGACGUGACUGACGCUGAGACGCGAAAGCGUGGGGAGCAAACAGG
rnacentral:rRNA from 1 species